rnacentral:rRNA from 1 species
UACGGAGGAUGCAAGCGUUAUCCGGAAUGAUUGGGCGUAAAGCGUCCGCAGGUGGCAAUGUAAGUCUGCUGUCAAAGCGUCUGGCUCAACCAGAUAAAGGCAGUGGAAACUACAUAGCUAGAGUAAGGUAGGGGUAGAGGGAAUUCCUGGUGUAGCGGUGAAAUGCGCAGAUAUCAGGAGGAACACCGAUGGCGAAGGCAGCUCGCUGGGACGGUACUGACGCUGAGGCGCGAAAGCGUGGGGAGCAAACAGG